AAGUCGUAACAAGGUUUCCGUAGGUGAACCUGCGGAAGGAUCAUUAACACAAUAUGAAGAUUAAAACACUUCAAACUAACGUGAACUAAAAAAAUCGCCCUAUAAUACUUGCUAUUAUAGGCAAUGAGAAUAGUAAUAAUUCCAAAUUCAAUUAUUGCAAUUGCAUUUGCAAUUAUUACUGUUCGAUCAUAUUUUUUACACCAUUAUAAUCCACAUUGUAGUUGACUUGUAAUUAUAUAUAUAUCUCUCUAUAGUAGUAAAAUAUUAUAGUGCGCUAUAUAUAAUGUUAAUAUAAUAAACAUAAAAUACAAAAACAACUCUUAACAAUGGAUAUCUUGGUUCUCGU
rnacentral:misc_RNA from 1 species